GAUGAGAACGUAGCGAAAUGCGAUACGUAAUGUGAAUUGCAAAUUCAGUGAAUCAUCGAGUCUUUGAACGCACAUUGCGCCCCCUGGUAUUCCGGGGGGCAUGCCUGUCCGAGCGUCAUUGCUGCCCUCAAGCACGGCUUGUGUGUUGGGCCCCGUCCUCCGAUCCCGGGGGACGGGCCCGAAAGGCAGCGGCGGCACCGCGUCCGGUCCUCGAGCGUAUGGGGCUUUGUCACCCGCUCUGUAGGCCCGGCCGGCGCUUGCCGAUCAACCCAAAUUUUUAUCCAGGUUGACCUCGGAUCAGGUAGGGAUACCCGCUGAACUUAAGCAUAUCAAUAAGCGGAGGA
rnacentral:misc_RNA from 1 species